AUUGAACGCUGGCGGCAUGCCUUACACAUGCAAGUCGAACGGUAACGGGCCUUCGGGUGCCGACGAGUGGCGAACGGGUGAGUAAUACAUCGGAACGUGCCCGAUCGUGGGGGAUAACGAGGCGAAAGCUUUGCUAAUACCGCAUACGAUCUACGGAUGAAAGCAGGGGACCGCAAGGCCUUGCGCGGACGGAGCGGCCGAUGGCAGAUUAGGUAGUUGGUGGGAUAAAAGCUUACCAAGCCGACGAUCUGUAGCUGGUCUGAGAGGAUGAUCAGCCACACUAGGGGUGAGACACGGACCAGGCGCCGACGGGAGGCAGCAGAGGGGAAUUGUGGACAAUGGGCGCAAGCAUGAUACAGCCAUGUCGCGUGCAGGAUGAAGACCUUCGGUUCGUAAACUGCUCCUGUACGGAACGAACAGCUUUCUUGUAAGACAGGAGGGUCAUGACGGUACCGUAAAAAUAAGCACCGGCUAACUACGUG
rnacentral:rRNA from 1 species